UCCAUUGACUUUAUGCCUCCACGUCCCCCCGAUAGCCUCAUAGACAGUAAAAGAUUGUCUGCGAGCUUCUCCUCCUGUCCAUACGGUAAUUUCUCUACUGUGCAACAGAGAGUCGCAGGUUAUGACGCAAUCAUUAGCCUACUUUUACAAAAACUGCUUCUACAGGGCCAUAACAUAAGAUACAAGGUAAUGGAGCCUUUUAUACAUUUUCAUGUUUCUUUAGAAAUAAUGAAUGGACAUGUCACAAGGUGACGAUCUUUAGGGGCGGAACCAAAAUUCGGGAAGUUUGGUUCCGCCCGGAAGUGUUUCCGCCCGGACCGGAAAAACAGAACACCGGAACUUCCGGUAGCGCCGUAAGAGGGAAAAUCAGGGAAUUCGAUGCACCUGUGCCUAGUUAGGGACAGCGGUUGGUGAUUGGAGGAUACGCUGGACAAGGCAGUACUUAAGGCCAAGUUACUUCACAGUCUGGGAGCUCUUUCUGGCUGGAAUUGUAUGAUUGUGAAGACAUCGCGAACCUUAAAGGUUGAGAAGUGAACGGAUUAUACGGCGAAUUGAGACGACGUGAAAAAGGGGAUUGGAAGCGGCAUUGAUGUGAGUACUAAGAGCAAGCCGAAAGUGCCCUGUAUAUUGACCUGGCGUUGUGUAGAUCUCCCCAGGAGGAGGAGGGCGGCCCUACCCCUAAUAUAGCAUGGUGGGAGAGCCGAAGGAAUACUUAUUGAAGUAGUCACAACGACGACAUCACUAGCUAGGCCGCAUAUUCCAUCGCCAGAUCCGAACCAAGCGAAGUGAAGGAAGACGGGUGUCCUUUUCGUACACUGAGUGUGGUGGGUGAGUCUUCGUGCUGUGAAAACCUAUAAUUUUGACGUGGUGCUGUAUAUUGCUGUGGGUUGCUGUGUAUUGCCGUGUGUCCUGUCAGAUAAACCCCCGCCUUCACGCACUUCGUCGCGGGAGGACAAGGAGACUGCUGGUUCUAGCCUAGUUCAGUACAGUAUAUGUUGUGAGCGUGCUUCAGAUCUCCGGAGAUAGCACGGUACGCUGUGUUCAGCCCAGAGGUGGGAGCUAUUCAAAGCAAACUAACUGUGCUUUGUGUCCAAUCUGAUACCUGUGGAGAGAAAAGGAGAGAGAGUGGGUAACACGAGGAGAGACCGAGGAAACCUGUACUUACAGUACGCUGUGUUCAGCCCAGAGGUGAGAGUCAUUCAAAGCAAACUAACUGUGCUAUUGUGCCCAAGUUGAUACCUGUGGAGAGAAAAGGAGAGAGAGUGGGUAACACGAGGAGAGACCGAGGAAACCUGUACUUACGCCGCUGCCUGUGGAGAAAGAGAAAGCGAGUGAGCACCCAAGGAACGAACUGUGUGAACCAGUACUUACUGUGAGCUGCAAUCAGCGAAGAGGUGAGAGCAAAACCAAGCCGAAUUAACUGUGCCUUUGCGUCCCAGCCGUUGCCUGUGGAGGAAGAGAAAGAGAGUGAGCACCCCGAGAACGAACUGUGUGAACCAGUACUUACCGUGAGUUGUAUUCAGCGAAGAGGAGGAAGAAGGAGGGCGCUACGGAUACCUAAGACUCUGGCCGGGCCCCGAGUCCCACGCCCCGGAUCCCCGUGGCCCCCUUGCUCCCUGACCUCUUCCCGGCCAUAGCCCAUCUGGAGGGCUGAGUCAGAGUUUAGUUUUAAUUGCCCUUUCCCUGUUCCCCAAGCUAUUUUUAAAUAUUUAAAUAAAGAUUGUUUUAUCACUUA